UACGGAGGAUGCAAGCGUUAUCCGGAAUGAUUGGGCGUAAAGCGUCCGCAGGUGGCCGUUCAAGUCUGCUGUCAAAGACCGGGGCUUAACUUCGGAAAGGCAGUGGAAACUGAACAGCUAGAGUAUGGUAGGGGCAGAGGGAAUUCCUGGUGUAGCGGUGAAAUGCGUAGAGAUCAGGAAGAACAUCGGUGGCGAAGGCGCUCUGCUGGACCAUAACUGACACUCAGGGACGAAAGCUAGGGGAGCGAAUGGG
rnacentral:rRNA from 1 species